UACGAAGGGGGCUAGCGUUGCUCGGAAUCACUGGGCGUAAAGCGCACGUAGGCGGCUUUUUAAGUCAGGGGUGAAAUCCUGGAGCUCAACUCCAGAACUGCCUUUGAUACUGAGAAGCUUGAGUCCGGGAGAGGUGAGUGGAACUGCGAGUGUAGAGGUGAAAUUCGUAGAUAUUCGCAAGAACACCAGUGGCGAAGGCGGCUCACUGGCCCGGUACUGACGCUGAGGCGCGAAAGCCAGGGGAGCGAACGGG
rnacentral:rRNA from 1 species